UCCAACAAUUACCUUUUUCCAAAUAUUUGAACUAUCUUUCUUGGAAACAGAGAUAUGGCUUUUCUCCUACUCAGACUCUAAAGUCUUUUCAUUUCCUUUCACUCAUUACCUUUCCAGAUCUCUUUUCUAACCCUUUUUCAUCUUCUACUUUCCUCGGUCUUCAACCUUCCUUUCCUCCUCCCUUUUUCAUUAUUCAUUCGUCUUCGACCUUCCAACUCACGAAGAUUUGGAGAUGAAAAUGCUUAUUGAUGUGCGAUUCAGAUUUUCGUUUCAAAACUCCUUCUUCGACGAUGCCGCUUCGUAUGGGGUUGUCUGAUCAGAAGCUGCAUAUGUGAUUCUGCCACAGUUGGUAGAUGUUUACGGUCAGAGACGUUUGACAAGUGCGUUGGAGUGGAUGGGAAAACACUCUUUAAGUAUAUUUGUCCUUGUAUAUUCAAACUUGCCGUGAUUUCUAUUCAAGGAUUUUAUUUGAGGAAAUCUGAAAAUAACAUUGUAAGCAAAGAUAUUGUUGAUGUUGCAAGCUAUUUUAUAUUUUCAGAUGUUUCCAACAAACAAUUGAAAAUAUGUUAUUCUAACUAGAGUAUUCACUGCAUAUUAUCAUUGAUGAAAUAUGAUUUAUGCCCUUUUGCAUUUUUGUUGUUUAACCAUAUUAUGCUGGUAUGCCUUAUAUUUUGCAAAUACAGGGCAAUUUUUACAUGGUUAUUAUUAAGAGAUUAUUUAUUAAGGAAAGUAGUGAUUGCUGCUCUAAUUUCUAGCAAUUGGUUAGAGUUUUAUGUUAUAAUUACAGUUACAGUGUGUGUGAUAGAAAUCAGUUUUAGCAUGUGUGGUAGUUGUCAACUAAUUGGUGGUAAGGAGGGUGUUUUAUUGAAAAUUGUCUGACUGAAUUGGCUUUGUGAUCCAAUAGUUGUUUUUCGCAGCUCAGCAGUGAAGUUGUGCUUUCGCGUCGGUUUGUUUACAGUGGCUUUAAAUCAUGGUUGUGUAUUGUGGGCGUGUUGUUAGCUCUCUGAAUCAGUCUUCAAUGCAGAUUAAUAUUAGAAAUUAUUGUAGGAGUGUUAAAAAGAUAUGUAUUUAUUGUCGAGAUAUCGGUAUAAUUAGAUAAAGAUAUAGUACGAGUUGUAUUUUGAUUAUGUACAAACAACAUGACAAAUAACUU